rnacentral:rRNA from 1 species
UACGGGGGGGGCAAGCGUUGUUCGGAAUUACAGGGCGUAAAGGGCUCGUAGGUGGCCAACUAAGUCAGACGUGAAAUCCCUCAGCUUAACUGGGGAACUGCGUCUGAUACUGGAUGGCUUGAGUUUGGGAGAGGGAUGCGGAAUUCCAGGUGUAGCGGUGAAAUGCGUAGAUAUCUGGAGGAACACCGGUGGCGAAGGCAGCAUCCUGGACCAACACUGACACUGAGGAGCGAAAGCCAGGGGAGCAAACGGG